UAGAAUCUAGGGAUUUUCUAGAAGGCCUAAG
rnacentral:piRNA from 1 species